rnacentral:snRNA from 1 species
AUCUUUGCGCUUGGGGCAAUGACGCAGCUAGUGAGGUUUUAACCGAGGCGCGUCUAUUGCUGGUUGAAAACUAUUUCCAAACCCCCUCUUCGGCCUGGGUUCGUCCCUGGCCGUGGAGAAUUUCUGGAAAGGGCUCCCUUUGCAGGGUAAAGCUC